GAUCCUGGCUCAGGAUGAACGCUGGCGGCGUGCUUAACACAUGCAAGUCGAACGAAGCACUUCAUAAAGUUUACUUUAAGAAGUGACUUAGUGGCGGACGGGUGAGUAACGCGUGGGUAACCUGCCUUACACAGGGGGAUAACAGUUAGAAAUGACUGCUAAUACCGCAUAAAACAGCAGAGUCGCAUGACUCAACUGUCAAAGAUUUAUCGGUGUAAGAUGGACCCGCGUCUGAUUAGCUGGG
rnacentral:rRNA from 1 species